AAAACGAGAGUAAAACAUUUCUUCAGUUCUUUUGUUGCGGCGUUUGCUGAUAAAGUUCGUUCUUGUCGUUAGAAAAGAAAUAACUCGAAACUCCUAACGCGUGAAAUUAUUUGCCAUAAAAUACAUAAAAGUUUUGAAGGAAAAUAAUUUGUGAUUGGCGUUUGAUGUUUUCGAGGGCAGUUUUAACAACGAAUUAACCAGAACAUCUGAAUUUUAGAUCCACAGCAUAUUUGGAUAUUCACUGUUGCAAAGCAAAGAUUUUUAAAAAGAAUUAAAUAGCGCGAAAAAUUAAAUAAAUGCCUGGAUUUUCUCCUAAUAAUAUGAUCCAAACUGUUCAAGCUUUCAAUUUCAUGGCUAAACUGGUUAAUAGCUUUAAUGCGCGAGCCGCAAUGUACGUGUCUUUCAAUCGUUGGUUUUCCAAAUAUUUUCUUUUUAUUUUUCAAAACAAUAAAUACAUACACAAAUUGACAGAAAUCGCCACAUUUAGAAAAAAAAUGUAAUCAGGUGGUAGCUCUACCUUAUAUUUUUAUUGUACCAUGCAUAUAUCUAUAUGAAUGUUACCCAAAUACGUCGGGCGUACAAAAUUUCAAAGUUGAACAUAUUCAACAUUGACAAUUGAAUUUUUGUGGGAUGAAAAUCGGAAUGUAAAUGGCAUAUAUAACAAUUGGAUGAAUGUUAAAACCUAUCAAUCUUUACAACGUUAUAAGUCGGUGGAUUUUAAGGUUUGGACCUGGCGCAUUUGGGUAAUACGGACGUUUAUAAGAAUUUACCGCAUUGGGAAAAUUGAAGAUUUGUCUACGCUGCGUCGAAUUUUAUGUAGCGCUUUUGCUCGCCAUUUAUCUAAAUGACAGAGACCAUGGACGAACGACCUUCAAGGGAGAAAGCUGUGUUAUAAGUGUGGAGGCACAACAAUUUCUUCAAAAACGUAACACUAAAAACGUAAUACUAUUUUGCAAAUAUAAUCCAGUAAUAGUCCGACAUCCCAUUUUGUUUUUUAUGUCCGAAAAAUAUCAAAUCCUGUCUUAAAAUCUCUCUUGCAGCGAUAAAUAAGGACUUUAAAAAACCUAAACACUGAAACAACAAAUAACACAUAAAUCAAUACAGAUUUCUUGGCAAUUGAACCAUGCCGGCGCCAUAAAAACGAGCCAAUUUUUGCUAAUUGCGAUCAAAUCACCUUUCCCCAAUGAAUUUACAUUAUCUUGAACAAUAGUGUCGAUAACAGUGACCAGUAAUGACGAAUAAAUAACACAGAAAUUCACGUGAGCUAAGUAAAGCAACAAUAAUGCCCAUAAACAAUACAAGAGUGUGUCUGUAAGCCACAUGUAUAUGAUAGUCAAAUCUAAAUCUAUUUUUAUGAUCUAGUAGUAACGUAGUAAGGCUUUAACUAUAA